rfam:Rhodopirellula baltica SH 1 complete genome; segment 9/24
CCCUGACAAAGGCAAACCGUUCGAGAGGACGGCACGCAAAACCACGGGUCCGUGAGUCGGUCGAUCGCAUUGUUUGCGUUCGGCUUGGCUUCAGGAAAGCCGAGUUGCCGUG